rnacentral:lncRNA from 1 species
UAUCAACAUUACAGUAAUUAGACUUUUUUAAUGCCUAAAUGUUGAUAAUAUUAGUCCAAAUUAUUCUUUUAUUACCAUUACUAUAAAUAUGUAAAUAAACAUUUUGUCAUAUUUGGUAAUGUUUGCAAUACAAUUUUUUUUAUAUUUCCACCAAAAAAGCUUAACUAGCAUGUCAGUUAUAUUGCAGCACUCUAAGUUAUUGUGUGUAAUCAACAGGUUGGGACCAUGAGAUGACUGGAGCAUUGCUGCACAUUCUGUGCCUCAGUGAUGAGACAAGGGAGACAUCACAGACCUCUGCCAUUAUUCCAUGCCACGCCAUUGAGACUGAGUCUUUGUUGGAGGCGGAUAAUCUUUGCUUUAAAGCUUUUUUUGUUUUUGAUGUUCAGUACACCAAGCAGUGUCUCCCCACCUGGGAAAAGAGUCCUUUUGAGGACAACAGUGGUUUCAGGCCCACAUCGUAUGAGAGUUCAAAUUAGUUGUUUAAUGACUUUUAAUGCCUGAAUAUUUGGACAGAUUUACAUUUGUUAUAAAGUCUGUGGGGAAGGGUGAAUGUCAGAGGGUGUGUGGGUGGGGGUUGGGAUGGGUGGGUAAAGAAUGUAUUCAAUAUUGUAUACAAACAAAGUAUUAAAGAAAUGUAUUGUUUUUAAAGAAAUAAUAUGUUUUAAAUUAAAUGAGAUUGAAAUCACAUAUACAUGGCCUCUGGUUUAUUGUAUUACAGAGACAAUAAUUAUUUUACAUUUGUAAUAUAAAAUAUAUUUGUAACUAAUGUAUAAAGGCAG